GAAGCGAACUAAACCCUCUAGGAGUAGUCCUGUCGUCAAAUAGACGUCACAGAGAUCACCACAUAUAUCUAAGAAAAUUAUAUCGCCGAUGAAAACUUCGACACCUAUUAGACGAAACCUGUCCGCCAAAAAUCACGAAAUAUUCGAAACAACAAAGGCAGAUAUACAGAAUUUAUUAUUCACCAACAUCGAUGUGGGCAAAUAAUCGGUCUAGUUUUUACUUGUAGCAAGAAAAAAAAAUCGUUGACAACAUUUUUGUCUUUAUUCUUCGUGAAACAUAUUAUUAAACCUAGGUUCCUACAAUUAUUUCAAAAUCAAAUCUCAUAAACUUUUUUAAGCACAC
rnacentral:lncRNA from 1 species